rnacentral:rRNA from 1 species
UCCGUAGGUGAACCUGCGGAAGGAUCAUUAGUGAAUAUUAGCGCAUCUACUUGUAGAGCGUGACCUCCACUUUCUAGCUCUGUGCAUUUAUUGGCGGAAGGACUUGAGCAAUCGAGUUUCCUUCUGCGGCUCAUUUUAAAACACUAGUUAAAGUAUGUAACGAAAUAUCGAAACAAAAAAAACUUUCAACAACGGAUCUCUUGGCUCUCGCAUCGAUGAAGAACGCAGCGAAAUGUGAUAAGUAAUGUGAAUUGCAGAAUUCAGUGAAUCAUCGAAUCUUUGAACGCACCUUGCGCUCCCUGGUAUUCCGGGGAGCAUGUCUGUUUGAGUGUCAUGAACUCUUCAACCCACCAGUUUCUUGUAAACUGAAUGGUGUUUGGUUUCUGAGCGUUGCUCGUCCUCUGUGACUGAGCUCGUUCGUAAUAUAUGAGCGUCUCUAAUUCGAAUUCGGAUUGACUCAGUGUAAUAGACUAUUCGCUGAGGACACGCUUUUAGCGUGGCCGAAUAAGAUAAUUGUAGAAGCUUCCAACCCUUCUAGUCAUUUUAAGAUUAGACCUCAGAUCAGAUAGGACUACCCGCUGAACUUAAGCAUAUCAAUAAGCGGAGGA